GACAGAGGUGCCGAGCGUUAGGCGGAAUCACUGGGCUUAAAGCGUGUGUAGGCGGAUCUGUAAGUACCUUGUGAAAUCCCACGGCUCAACCGUGGAACUGCUUGGUAUACUGCGGGUCUUGAGCCACCUAGGGGCAAGUGGAACAAACGGUGGAGCGGUGAAAUGCGUAGAUAUCGUUUGGAACGCCAAUGGUGAAAACAACUUGCUGGGGGUGUGCUGACGCUGAGACACGAAAGCGUGGGUAGCAAACAGG
rnacentral:rRNA from 1 species